rnacentral:lncRNA from 1 species
UCAGUGUUCCCACCAGCUAUGAAAAAAAAUUAAGAUUGUGUUUAUAUCUUAAAUCCAGAGGGUAAACUACAAAUUGAAAGACUCCACCAAUCACCUCCCAGAAAAUCUCCCAGGAAUAUCUUGGAAAAAUUCUAGAGAUCCCAGGUCAGAGAGGAAAUACUUCAAACAACCAUCAAGAAAUAAUUCAAAUAUCAUGGUGCCAUUUUCACAUUUAAGGAGAAGAAGGCAUGGAAUAUGAUAUAUCAGAAGACAAAGAAGUGGUACACAAGAGAAGAGACUGAGGACAUGAACUCCAGACUAUAGUAACUCCUCAAAGUGAAUGGAGUCUUGUCAUCAAGGUAGUCCUCAGGCUGAACUCAUCAGCCAAACACCUGUACUUUUGAGCCAGGGAAGAGACAAGAUACUGGAGAAGACCAAGAUGAUCUCUACGAAAUUACUUUAAAAAUACUAUUAUAUGAUGCCUCAAAAUGAAUUCUGGAGCAGCACAACCUAUGGAAUGACAGAAAAUAGGAAGAAAGAUGGGGCGGAGUCAAGAUGGCAGCUUAGCAAGCAGCAAAAGUUCAGACCUCCUGGAAGACCCUUCCUUACCGAUACAGACUGA